rnacentral:rRNA from 1 species
UACAGAGGUCUCAAGCGUUGUUCGGAUUCAUUGGGCGUAAAGGGUGCGCAGGCGGCGGGGCAAGUCGGACGUGAAAUCUCGGGGCUUAACCCCGAAACUGCGUUCGAUACUGCCCUGCUAGAGGACUGGAGAGGAGACUGGAAUUCCUGGUGUAGCGGUGAAAUGCGCAGAUAUCAGGAGGAACACCGGUGGCGAAGGCGGGUCUCUGGACAGUUCCUGACACUGAGGCACGAAGGCCAGGGGAGCAAACGGG